rnacentral:tRNA from 1 species
GCCCAGGUGGUGAAAUUGGCAAACACACUAGAUUCAGGUUCUAGCGCCGGCAACGGUUUGCGGGUUCAAGUCCCGCCUUGGGCA